CCAAGCAUAUAAGUCCCAGACCAGGUAGAAAACGAGCUCAAUACUGAUCUUCUGCGAGGUCGAAUUGGAGAUGGAUUUGAAGACAGAGGCCAAAUCGGAGAUGGAACCAUACAUGGGUCUUCAACGAAAAGUCCCAGAGUGUUGGAAGCUUGCAACUCGGCGCCUUGCUUCUCUCUGUGAGAAAUCAGUGAUUAAUUUGGGUUUGUUUCUGUUGACAACUACAGAUGCAGAGAGGGAAACUCUGUGUUGGAUAUUAUGUGGCUAUGACGGGGUUCUCUGCUUUGCUUAUCAGCAUUGCAACAUUUCUCCCAUGUUGUGAGAAUCAUGGAUAAAUGUUUCUUCAGAGAAUAAACAUGGUUUUCCUUUUCACAGAGACGAAGGAGCUGGUGAUAGUUUUUCUUGGAGAAAUUGAGCUCAUUUGAACAAAUAGGAAUAUCCGAUUGAGCUGGCACCCAUUUAAUCAAAUUGGGGGAUUUGAUUGAGCAAUCAGAGAUCUUUGAAGGAUUGAGCUCCGGUGUGAUUGUGGAAUCCCUGAAGGUGGUUAGCUUGCAAGGAUUUGCCUCAAUUUUGGAGCCUAACCUCUGCAGAAUUGCACGAUAUCGGCAUAUUGCUUUUGCUCCAGUCUGGCCAUGAGAAUGAGGUAUCAUUUAAUUGUGAAAGAAAGCUUUGGAGGAGAACAUAAUUGUGUAUCUGGAAACUGGUUGUGGAAAGACCUAAAUAGCCGUGUUGCUUAUGUAUGAACCAGUUGAUACUCAAACCUCAGAAGAACAUGUGUGCUAAAUCCUGAAGAUCUUUGUGGUAUAUAUGGAUCAAAUUGCUCCCAAUGGAUUAUUGCAAUGGAGUAUUAGAAAGAAUGUGGCUAUCAUGAAGCCUCAUGAAGCAGCCAAAUUAGUUGCAGAAUGAGAUUUUUCAUGUAAAAGGACACUCCCCUGAACUGAAAGAUUGAGUUUGCAAUACACCUGUUACAAGUUUUUCGUCGUUUAUAUUGCCGGGCAUACCAUUGGAAGCAUG